rnacentral:rRNA from 1 species
GACGAACGCUGGCGGCGCGCUUAACACAUGCAAGUCGAGCGAAGCGGCGGACGGGUGAGUAACACGUGAGUAACCUGCCUUAGACAUUGGGAUAGCCUCGGGAAACCGGGAUUAAUACCAAAUGGUCUGAGAUGGACUCGCGUCCCAUUAGCUAGUUGGUAGGUAACGGCCCACCAAGGAGACGAGGGGUAGCCGGGCUGAGAGGGUGAACGUGCAAAUUGGAGCUGAGCAACGGUCCAAGAUCUGGGGGAGGGAGCAGGAGGGAAUAUUGACCAAUGGGGGGAACCAUGAAGCAGAGGCGCCGCGUGAACGAAGAAGGAUUCGGAGCCGUACAGAGCCUUUAUAUGGGACGCGGUACCAGAAGAAAAAGCCCCGGCUAACUUCGUGCCAGCAGCCGCGGUAAUAC